rnacentral:rRNA from 1 species
CCUANGGGUGGCAGCAGUAAGGAAUAUUGGUCAAUGGAGGCAACUCUGAACCAGCCAUGCCGCGUGCAGGAUGAAGGCCCUAUGGGUCGUAAACUGCUUUUACACAAGAGAAAACCCCGGUACGUGUACCGGAUUGAUAGUAUUGUGAGAAUAAGCAUCGGCUAACUUCGUGCCAGCAGCCGCGGUAAUACGAAGGAUGCAAGCGUUAUCCGGAUUCAUUGGGUUUAAAGGGUGCGUAGGCGGACUUAUAAGUCAGUGGUGAAAUCUCUUUGCUUAACAAAGAAACUGCCAUUGAUACUGUAGGUCUAGAGUAUAGAUGACGUUGGCGGAAUAUGACAUGUAGUGGUGAAAUACUUAGAUAUGUCAUAGAACACCGAUUGCGAAGGCAGCUAACGAAACUAUAACUGACGCUGAGGCACGAAAGUGCGGGGAUCAAACAGGAUUAGAUACCCCGNUANUC